AGCAGCAUGGCAUAGUGGUUUGAGCAUUGGACUAUAAUGAUUCUGGAGACCAAGGUUCGAUUCCCUGCUUGGCCA